UAAGAGCACAUGGCGGAUGUCUUGGCGUCAAGAGGCGAUGAAGGACGUGGGAACCUGCGAAAAGUUCAGGGGAGCCGGUAACCAGGCUGUGAUCCUGAAAUGUCCGAAUGGGGAAACCCGGCCGUAAGGUCACUCUUACCUGAAUGCAUAGGGUAAGAGAGCGAACCUGGGGAACUGAAACAUCUAAGUACCCAGAGGAAAGGAAAUCAACCGAGACUCCGUGAGUAGCGGCGAGCGAAAGCGGAUUGCGACUUAAGUCAGUGAACGCGUUGGAAAGCGCGGCCAAAGAAGGUGAUAGCCCUGUAGUUGGAUGAUGUCGCUCAGCCCUAGAGUAGCGUCGGUGUCGUGAAACCCGGCGUGAACAUGGGGGGUCCACCCUCCAAGGCUAAGUACUACUUGACGACCGAUAGUUAACCAGUAAGGCGACUGAAUGAUGAAAACUACCCCUGCUAGGGGUGUGAAAGAGUAGCUGAAACCAUGUGCUUACACAGCGGUCAGAGCCCUUCGGGGUGAUGGCGUGCCUUUUGCAUAAUGACCCGGCGAGUUACUCUCAUUGGCGAGGUUAAGGCCUAGCGGGCCGAAGCCGAAGCGAAAGCGAGUCUGAAAUAGGCGUUGAGUCGAUGGGAGUAGACGCGAAACCUUGUGAUCUACCCAUGGGCAGGCUGAAGGCCGGGUAAAACCGGCUGGAGGGCCGAACGCACCAACGUUGAAAAGUUGGGCGAUGACCUGUGGGGAGGACUAAAAGUGUAAUCAAACUGGGAGAUAGCUCGUUCUCUCCGAAAUAUUUUUAGGAAUAGCCUCUUGCGGCAACUGUUGGGGGUAGAGCCACUGGAUACGGAUGGGGCCCUCGGGUACCCACUGUAACCAAACUCCGAAUACCAACAGCCAAGGCAAGGGAGUCAGCCCACGAGUGACAAUAUCCGUGGACAAAAGGGAAACAUCCCAGACCGCCAGCUAAGGUCCCUGAACAUUGCUUAGUUCUAAAGGAAGUCGAAGCGCAAAGACAGCCAGGAUGUUGGCUUAGAAGCAGCCAUCAUUUAAAGAAAGCGUAACAGCUCACUGGUCAAGCGUUCCUGCGCGGAAAAUGUAACGGGGCUUAAGUGAUACACCGAAGCUGCGGACUCAGAAAUGAGUGGUAGCGGAGCGUUCUGUAAGUCUGUGAAGGUGGCCUGCGAGGGCUGCUGGAGAUAUCAGAAGUGAGAAUGCUGACAUGAGUAGCGAUAAAGAGGGUGAGAGGCCCUCUCGCCGAAAGUCCAAGGGUUCCUGCGCAAUGCUAAUCAGCGCAGGGUAAGCCGGCCCCUAAGGCGAGGCCGAAAGGCGUAGUCGAUGGGAACCAGGUUAAUAUUCCUGGGCCAGCGGGUAGUGACGGAUUGCGGACGUUGUACACUCUUACUGGAUUGAGUGUGCAGCCAAGCCGUCCCUGGAAAUAGCUCCCGCAUGAGACCGUACCCCAAACCGACACAGGUGGUCAGGUAGAGAAUACUAAGGCGCUUGAGAGAACUCGGGUGAAGGAACUCGGCAAAAUUGUACCGUAACUUCGGGAGAAGGUACGCCUCUGUUUGUGAACACUUCGCGUGGUAAGCAAAUGGAGGCCGCAGUGACCAGGUGGCUGGGACUGUUUAUUAAAAACACAGCACUCUGCAAACUCGUAAGAGGACGUAUAGGGUGUGACACCUGCCCGGUGCCGGAAGGUUAAUUGAUGGGGUUAGUUUUCGGACGAAGCUCUUGAUCGAAGCCCCGGUAAACGGCGGCCGUAACAAUAACGGUCCUAAGGUAGCGAAAUUCCUUGUCGGGUAAGUUCCGACCUGCACGAAUGGUGUAACCAUGGCCACGCUGUCUCCACCCGAGACUCAGUGAAAUUGAAAUCGCAGUGAAGAUGCUGUGUACCCGCACCUAGACGGAAAGACCCCGUGAACCUUUACUACAGCUUGGCACUGAACAUUGAACCUACAUGUGUAGGAUAGGUGGGAGGCUUUGAAGCACAGUCGCUAGAUUGUGUGGAGCCGUCCUUGAAAUACCACCCUUGUAUGUUUGAUGUUCUAACAUUGACCCCUUAUCGGGGUUGUGGACAGUGUCUGGUGGGUAGUUUGACUGGGGCGGUCUCCUCCCAAAUAGUAACGGAGGAGCACGAAGGUUAGCUAAUCACGGUCGGACAUCGUGAGGUUAGUGCAAUGGCAUAAGCUAGCUUAACUGCGAGACAGACACGUCGAGCAGGUACGAAAGUAGGUCAUAGUGAUCCGGUGGUUCUGUAUGGAAGGGCCAUCGCUCAACGGAUAAAAGGUACUCCGGGGAUAACAGGCUGAUACCGCCCAAGAGUUCACAUCGACGGCGGUGUUUGGCACCUCGAUGUCGGCUCAUCACAUCCUGGGGCUGAAGCCGGUCCCAAGGGUAUGGCUGUUCGCCAUUUAAAGUGGUACGCGAGCUGGGUUUAGAACGUCGUGAGACAGUUCGGUCCCUAUCUGCCGUGG
rnacentral:rRNA from 1 species